CGGGAGUGGCUCCGCCCCUCAGGUGGGGGCCCGGGAGCGCGCGCCCCUCACCUGGCGGCAGCCGGACCGCUGCCCCGAGAGCCCAGCGCCGGGUUCAAUUAAUUACCAAUGUCUCCCGAAAGGACUGAAGAGCCACAGCUGGUCCGCGCGCGCCCAAACUGCUCUCCUAUAGAAGUAACGGAGAGAGAGAGACAGAACCAAAGGUCAUUGCUGAAAGGGAAACACGAAAUCAAACGAGGGAAUCAUUCUGCCUCACUUUCUGGGAAGGAAAACAAUAAGAAAAAAAGCAGUUGUGAACUGGACUCUCUUAAUGAUAAAACCAAUGACAACGUUCUGACCAGUGGAGUUUGAAUGGAAGUGAUGAGCAGCGCUACCAGGCCUGGCUCAGCAAAGCCUCCGAAGUCUAAUCCUAGCGUUUUCGCUUCAACCACUGGAUGAAUGAGGAGAACUGCAAAGACCUACAGGAGAGACAAGACAAAAGAUCUUGGGUGCCUGAGAGACUGCGUAGAGCAGAGACCAUCCACUGACCUACACGUCAAUGUCAAGCCUUGGUGAGCUGUUAGCAGAGCUGCAGUUAAUGGAUGCACUCGAGACAGAUUAAGACUGGGAAACACCUGAAGAUGGAGAGACCCUCGAGGACAGAGAUACUUCACUCUAAGAAUGAGAUUGGAUCUCGUGAGUUGGCUCCCAUGAACUUUUCUGCUCUGAUCUGGAUCUGUGUCCUUGAUGCUGUGCUCUCAAAGCACACUUUACCCUGUGGGUGAACAGCUAACAAAUGCUUCCUUGGGGGCGGGGUGAGCUGAGGCUGGCAUCCAUCCUGGGUAGCUGGGCAUUGUUCCCCGUCCCUCGCACCUGCUCAGCCAAGGCCAUUAACUCAGUGUGCCGGCCUCUGCUGAAAGCAGCCUGGGUUAGUAAAUCAAUGUGCCAACGAAAGAAUCGUGUAUUCUAGAGGACACAGCCAGCUGUUCGACACCACACAGGAACCCUUUUCAAUUUGGGGACAGCCAUCCUCUUAACAAGGACGUUCUAAGUGCAGUCUUGUCAUCCGCUGAAGAUGUGAAGAAGCCUGAUGUUAGACAUGUUUCUUUUCUCUGCUUCUACUGGAAAUCAGGUGCCAGAAAUGAGUUAGGAAAAAGAAAAUAGCAAAGAAGAAGAGAAAUGCCCUGACUGUGUCAUUGAUGGAGUUACAAUCGGGGCUUUCUGUUGGCACCACAUCAUGUUUAAGAAGAUGUCCAAACACACUCUUCCUCCCGAUGCCUCAGUCUCUGCCCUGCCUACCACCUCUAGUUACGGCAGGAAGACCUCAGAAGUGUCACUGAUUUAUCCUCUCCUGUCUUCUCCCUUUAGAAUAUCAUUCAUGCCAGUCUUUUUCUCUCUGUGCUCUGCCAACAAUGUGGAUCAGGUCUCAAUAAUUCAUACCUAGUCUGUGACAGUAUUCUUCUGGCUGGCUUCUCUACCUCCUGGCUGUACAUCUUGGCUCAAUUCAUCUUCCUUAAAUGCCAAUUUCAUCAUGACGUUUCUUAAUUUAAGCACCUUUAAUAGUUUUCUGUUUCCUAAAAGUCCACUGCUUGGCUUUCAAGCCUCUCCGUGUUAAUUGGCCUCAUCUCAAGUUUGCAUCUUCUACUGUUCUCUAAUACAUCUCUCCUAUUUAUGUGGAUUCUCCGUCGAUCCAUUCUUAAAGAAUGUAUGGGGCACCCUUGCACACCUGCACACUGCAUCACAGGAUCUGCCACAAAAGAAAAGUUCAGUUAAUACCUGUUGCAUAAAUGAAUCUAUGAAUCGAAGAACCUCCCCUUUCCCACCUUCUCCAUGGAAUGGCCUGUACCCAUCCCUAUCCAGACCCAGCAGUCCUUCCACAUCUAGGUCAUGUCCAAGUUCCUCACGGAAGCGCUCUCCUACCACCCUCGUCAUUCGGCUUCAGUUUCUCCAGGUUUUUAUGGCACCUGUUGUCUUUGCUGCAUCAUAACCUGUUUCAUUAGUCCUCAGUUUCCCUUUUAAUUCUGUUUUAUCGUUUAGAUACUCUGAUCUUUCAAAAGAAAGCUCAAGUUUUGUGAAGAAAAAUGAUCUGCCUUGGGCUAUCUUGCAACCUUAACAUAAAUGCAUGAUUAGUCAGGGCUAGGAGAUAAUUUUGGAUCGUUCAGUGUGUCUACCCAGUCACAACCUCUUCUACUAGAAUAUUCUUUGACUACAGCUUUGGCUGAGUGAACACUGGCUACACCUUGAAUCUCUGUCUGGGAAACAGCUGAUUAAGCCAGGGUGAACACUUGACUGAAAGUGUAGCCAUCUAAACUUCUGCAAAAAGAUAAGCUGUAGCUUAAAUUCAGUUCAUAGUUAUUGAUGAACUGAAUUAGUUAAAAGCAGAAAAGAAAGAAGCAAAUUUGAUGCGUACACAAUUAUUGCAUCACAUUAGUGGUGGACCUUCUGGUCAACACUCUUGCCCUCUUCUGGGAUCUCCAGCCCAGCUUCCGGGCACCCAGUGAUAUCACAGGGCUUACACUUCGUUCUUGGAGUGCCACCAUAUCCUGACACACCCCCUCCCUUUGCUCUCAGUUUGGUAACUCUCCUGCAAAUAAAAGUGUCUUGAUCAGCCUGCUUUGGGAAGUGGCAGAGAUUCACCUCCCAACCUGGCCCUCUGCCAUGGUUCUUCAGCUCUUUGCUCCUUGACUCAGUCACUCUCACUACUUUUAUCAGGCUUUUCUUUUCUUUUGCCAUGGGACCUUACUCUGGAAUCAGAACUGAGUGAAGCCGAGGUCCCAAAGCAGCAAUAAAUUACACACAUUUUUUUAAGCCAUGAAACUGUGUGAACCCACAAUUUCUCAUGUCGGCAUCAAAAUAUUACAAAAGCCAAACAAAAUGUUUCCCAAAAGACUCCCAUGGAAUAAUUUGAGCCAAAAUUGAAAAUGUUUUUUGUCUACAACUGCCAAAAUGGGACAUCAGAGUAUGAAAUCUUGUAUAAACAAGGAUCCGAAUGCACAAUCGUGUUUCAUGGGUUUGAUCCUCUGACCAUAUCAUUGUUUUCUGGUAUUAAAAAUGCAAUGCUUGACAGUAAUAACAAUCUCGUAUGUUUGAAUUGUGCUUUGAAGAUGUUUUCACAUCCAUCUUAGGAGUUGUUGAGGACAUGGACUCAAAAGCUCUAUUCCCUGGUCCAUUGUUUAUAGCUGUGUACUUGAGCAAGGUUUCCCUAUCUUCUCUCUGUUUCUCAGUUUCUCCAUUUUAAAAAUGGGAAUAAAUAAGCACCUACCUCAUACGGUUAAUGAAAGAGUUAAGUCAAUAAAAUGUAAGGGACUUAAAAUAGGGCUUAUGCACGAUAAGUCUUAGUUCUCCUAGGAAGAAGGGGAGGAAUGACUCUAUUCGGUCCUCACAAUCAUUCUGGAAGUUGGCCGGGCAAGGAUUAUUAUGGAUACUUUAUUUUUUAGGAAAUCAAGACCCAGAGAGAACCAAUGACUUGUUAAGGGUAGUUGUAUAAAACAGAUCUAAAUUCAGGCUUUUUAAAUUUCAAGUCCAAAGAUGUUUGAUGAUAGAAACUUCUGGGACUCUCUAUACACUCUACCCUCAUUCUCAAGGAAUAAAAUGCCUCUGACAUACAGAGACGUUCUCUCAAGCAGCUGUCAGUACCUCUCCCAGCCCCCAGUGGCUAAACCAGAGUUGGACAUGUAAUCACAGUUCAGUCAGAAUUCUUUUGCUAGGAAUUUGGAGUCUAGAAAGAGAGUAAGGGUGAAAAUAAGAAUAAAACUGAGAGAGAAAUAGUAAGAGACCCACUGUGGCUGGAACUCAACCCUGUGAACUUGGGAACUACUGCUAACCAUGUUCCUGCAAUAUCACCACACUCCACCAGGGGGCUAUAAAAGAUGAGUUAUUUGCCAAGUUUUCCUGUCUUAUUUCCAGCCCUUCUUGGGAGCUGGCUAUAUUCCUUUGGGGGAAGGGACGUGUUCUGUGCGACAAAAUGUAGCCAAGGCAACGAAAUGUUGACUAGUGGUUAAGAGCACAGACUCUGGACUGGGCUGUUUGGAUUCAGAUCUUACCUCUACCACUUACUAGCUAUGUGACCUCGGUUAAAAGCUCUGAAGUUGGUUUCCUCAUCUGUAAAAUGGGGAUGAAAAUAUUACCUAGUUUAUCAGUGCUAUCAUGGGGAGGAAAUGAGAUACUGUAGUGCUUUCAGAGUAGUGCCUGGCACUGUAAAUGCUCAGUAACUCCUAGCUGUUACUCUGCUUAUAAUACAUUCCCCUUUGGGGCUCACGCCAUGUCAAAAUGGUCAGCAGCUAAAGUGGCUGAGGACAUCAUCAUCUUUCAAGCAAUCCAAGUCGAAAAUCAGAGUCAUGUGCACUCUUUCUCCCUAGUUUUCAUAAGUCUAAUCAGUCACUAAAUUCUGCUGAUAGUAACAUUGUGAAACUGUCCUCCAUAUACCCUCAUUUCAUCCCAUUUGGCUCAUUAAAUUGCUGAUGUGUCUUUUCACGCUGGCUCCAAAGCGGAUGACUAUAGGCACAGAACAGCGCUGUCCAAUGGGGCUGAUCUGCCGUAUAGAAGUAACUAGCGAUCAUUGUAGGUAGGAAAUGCGCUCUCCUGCUCCCCACAGUCUCCACAUAGAAAACAGCGUUCGAGUGAUCUGGUCCCUACUCAGCAUUCAGUUUUCAUUUUCCUAUGCAUGCUUGACGUCACUUAUACUCUAGCUUCACCGGACUGAUAGUUCCUUAAAUCUAUGUAAUUCUUCCAUAUCUUGAUAACUUGUUCCCUCUGGAAUCUUUCCUGUCUGUAAUGAUCCUAUUCACUCCCCAAGGCUCAAUCAAGAAUUUUGUUCUCCAAGAAGUCUUUCAGUCCUAGGCUGACUGGUGAUCCUUCCUCUGUGCACCCACCUCUCAUAAAAACCUCAUCGUGUCCUUUCUUAAUUCUGUUGAUACAGUGGUUACUUCCACACACCUCUCUCUAGCAUUAAGCUAUACCAUAAACUUAGUAAGACGGCUGAGUCAUCCUCUCCUUCAGGAAGUCUUCCCUCUUGUAGUUUAUCUCCCUUCAUUCGCUCUCCCAUACGACCCCAUGCAUAGUUAUAGCACAGAUACUUUUGUGUGUGUUCUGGACAUCUGUUAACAUGUCCAUUUCUCUAAAUUAUAAGCUUCUAAGGGAAGAAACUGUAUUUUCACCUUUGUAAGCCUAUAAUUUGUAAACUUAUAGCUCAAUACUUGGCACAUAGUUACCUCUCUCUGUUUGCUGAUUUAACUGAACUUGAGGGGCGAGAUUCUCUUUGGCCAACUUUGCUGCCUCUUACCCAGCUACAGUGAACCUUCGUAAGGUCCUUAGAGCAGUGGUCCCCAACAUCCCCUAGUAAGCAGUAUCAGUGUGACCUGACACAUUACUGGGGAGAGAUGUCAAUUCUCAACCCUCAUGCCAGACCUACUGAAACAGAAACCCUGGGGGUGAGGCAUAGCAGUCAGUGUUUUGACAAGUCCUCCAGGUGUUCUGGAUGCCCACCCGAGUUUGAGAGCUUCUGCUGUAGUGUUUGUAACAGCUGCCACAAACGUUAUUCCCAUAUAUGACUUUGCCUGAGUCCAGCCCCAAGGUCAGAACUGCUUUUUCAGAAGGCUGCUCUGUGGGAAGUCUGCAUCACAUCCCUCAGCAUGGGGUUGAUUAUAUGUCAUCCAACUGUUUCCUAUUUCUUUAUGCACUCAGGGCCUCAUUUUCUUGACUUGUCACAAGCUAAGAGUAAUGGUCCCCAUCUGAAUGUCAAAUAUCAUAAAAAAUUCUUUCAAUCAGGAAGUGGCCUUUAUUGCAGAUAAUAUUGAAAUAAUCAUUCAACAAAUAUCUAUUAUAUACCAACAAUGUGAUGGAGUCUAAAAUGACAGGUAAGUUGACAGACAAAUCAACACAUAGACAACGUAAAUUUCAAUAGUAUUAAAGAAUUAAAGUAAGAAGCUAGUAGAGGUCAUGUGGUUGAUUUUUAACUCCAUUCUACCCUAAAUGCUUUUUCUUGAGGCAGUAAUGGAAAUAACUGUAACCCCGUUCCCAGGCCAAAGUUUGAGGAAUUGCUAUGUGAACAAUUCAAACCCAUGUGGUACACAGGAAGUCAGCUACCUGCUCUAGGAAGGGCUUAUCUGCUAGUUAGAUGGCAGUCCAGGAAGACACACUCCCUUUCUGUCUCUGGGCCCUGGCACUGGAUGUAAAACCAGGCACUGCUGAAGCCAUCUUGCUACUUAUCUCAGGACAAAAUCCUCGGAGAGGAAGAUGAAACCUGAGAGAACCAGAGUCACAAUCCUGGUACCAUACAGAACUCUGGACAUUUUGUUAGUUAAGACCAUGCAUUUCCUUCUAGUGUAAGCCAAGUGGAGUUGGCAACUUCCAGGAUUUGCAUCUGACUGCAUCUUGAUGGAUAAAGGGAUAAAGAACUAUGGCAGGAGAGGGGGGCUAUCAUAUGGAAAGAUGCUUAAGGAUCUCAUUGGCUUGACUUGUGUCCCACACCCACUCGACUGGCCUAGGAAUGAGAUUACAGUCAUUUCAAUUAGUGCCUCAAAACCAAGCAUUUAGGGUAGAAAGGGGUUAAAAUCAGAUCAAGAAAAAGGCCAGCCGGGAGAGGGAAAAAGUGUGAAAGGCUGAGACCUAAGGUGACGUUUCUCAUAUGCCAGCUUCAGUAAUAUCUAAAGUGACAAUCAUUCAGAAAGAAAAAUAAACCAAACAAACAGUCCCUAGCACAUGCCAUUUUUUUUUUUUUUUUUUUUGCUGGCUUUUAUAUUCUCACUGGUAGGCCGCAAAACUUGCAGUCAUUAGACGGGUAGAUGUCACCUCUUGGGUAAUGUGAACCGACAAGUUGCGGAAAGGCUACAACUGAGGGAUUUGAUAUUUUUAUAAUCCCAAAACAAAUCACAAAAGAGCUGUGGCGAGGUAACAUUGGACAGUUUGAACUGUGUUACUUUCCACUGAGCAAAGAGAAGGCCUUGUGCACGUGUCGUCUUCAGGUCAAAUGCUAGUUCUCGGGAAAGAAACCAUAACCCAGACAUGUUGAACAACACAGUGAUUUGAAGUGAAAAUGCUUUCCCACGAGGCAUUUGGUGUGUUACGUUUGAAUGGCUAUCCACGUCCGUUUUCAGGAGUAUGGGCUCAUUCCGUUACUUAAGGUCAACAACCAGUUGGGAAACUGUCCCUGUUGAGUCUUGGAGAGAACCCCUUUUCUUUCUCUACUCUCUAUUUUGUGUCAUGCAAACAAUUUCCCUGAAAUUUCAGUUCUCACCACAGUCCUGUGGGGGCAUUAUUUCCAUUUUGUGGUUGAUGAGACUGAGGAGGUGAAGAAACUGGCCCAAGGUUCCAGUUUAGGUAACCGUCUCACACAUGGCAUUGCUGCUCAGUGGAUGCUCAGGGAUGAGAAUGUUGAUUUGUCUGACUCCAAAGUAUGUCCAAUAGAGGUCCAGCCAAUCUUGCCUAUCUUCGGUGUCUUUAGUCUACUUAGAGCUAAUAUGUAGGCAUAUGUAGAGCCCACAUAAUUCUCACCCAAACUGGGAGACUUUGAGAGUGGAAGUGGAUGCCAUCAAAGAUUUGCUGAGACAAUGGGCAUAAAUUGGGCCUGUCCUGAGGAAAACCAGGGGGUGCCAUCCUAGUUACAGGUCUACUUGAGAAAAGAGCAUAGACUCAGGAAUGAAAGUCUUGGGAUUCAAUCCACUUUUAACAGCUUGGUUUCCUCAUCUCUAACAUGGUUAUAAUCAAAUCUUUAAAUGAGAUGUUUGUAGAUCACUCAGCAUCAUCAGAGCUCAUUAUAACAGAUGCUCAAAGAACCCAAGAGCUUUUUGCUGUCCCCCUUUCCUGUUAUAUACUAUUUUCUCAGUCUGAUGUUUGUAUAAGUAUUCACAUCCCUAUUUAAAUGCCCCCAGGAUGCAAGGUGCAAAUAUUAUAAAGUCAGAUUGCCCACUCCUAGCAGAGGUAGGGAACCUUAUUAUCAUUCAAUGUAUACUUUGUGAUUUGAUUAUUGGGGAAGUAAAUGGCAUGUGAAGUUUGAUAAUAGCUAUCUUCCUAUUUUUGAAAAAUGAAGUGUGUCUAGCCUUUCUUAUAAACAAACAGAUUCUUUCCUACUUCUUUUUCUACAUAUUUCUGGCAUUCAUAUAGGGGUACUUCUCUACCUUUUUACAUCCUUAGUGUCAUAUUUAAUGGUGUCCCAUCCAUCUCCUUACAGUGCUAAGGUCAAUGGGAAAAAAAAAUAAAAGGAGAAUAAUAUUCAGUAAUCCUUACACUGCCCAAAAUGUUCUUUUACACAGAUUUCCAAUAGACUGUAUCACAAUCACCCAGCUCCUGUAACAAACACAGAAUCUUUGAGUUCCACCCCUAGAGAAUCUGGUUCCAUACUUGUAUGGGUUAGUGCACAUAGACCUGACUUCUUUCCUUCUUUUCUAAAAAAAAAAAAAUUCUUUUUUAAUACCACCAGCUAAUUCUGACAGGAUUGUAAGUCACUUUUUUACAGCCUCCUUGGGGCUCUUCUAAACUGACCACGCAAGUAGCUCCAUCAGUAAAGAAGCAUGUAUGAGGCACCUAUGAUAUGGUAGGCGGUGGGUGUAGAGGGAAGGUACAGUUGUGAAUGAGGCAGAUUCUGACUUCCUGGCCAUUAAAGACAGUAGGUUCUUUAAAGCCUUAAUUUUCAGAGAGUUCCGAUCCUGGGAGAAAUACUAACCGUAGGAUAGACUUUUGCGAUUCAUAAGGGAUGAAUUGAGAGAUUUUCACAAAUUUCCAAAGUCACGAAGAGAGAAUAAGAAGCCAUAGUGAGGCGGCCUCAUUCAUUAGCUAAAUAUCGGAGAACUUCACGUGUAUCCGGGAGUAGUUGAAAUCAAGACUGUCAAAUCUGUGAAUGAAAAGUUUCUAUUACACACUUGAUACAGUAAGAGUUUGUCAUUGCCUCAUUUCUCUAUUAUCUGUUCUCUAAGUGCCAUAUAACCUCACUCAAGGCAUGGAUAUCUUUAGAAAUGCAAUUUCCCCAUCAGUUUGUGUAAUUAUUUGAUUAAUUUAUCUGUAUCACUGUACUAGGUCCGUAAGGGUGGUACCUGCAUAUGUUUUCUGUUCACCAUUGCAUCCUUAGUGCUGAGCACCAUGCCUCACACACAGUAGAUAAUCAGAAACCAUUUGUUGAAAGGAUGAGUGAAUGAAAGAGUGGGAUUCUUGUCUUAGCCAUCAUGCUAAAACAUUCACAUUCUGAAGUAUUUUAGAGUACUUCCAGGUAGUCCUUUUGGGAAACUUUAGGUCUCUUGUGAUAAAUCUAGCAUUACCAAAUCAUUUCUGAACAUCUACAGAGCUGGUUUUGUGUUUUGUUAAAUAAAGAUUUUCAGUGGAAGUAAAUAUUCAUAAUUUAAGAGUGGUUUUUAUUUCAAGAAAGAGUCAAAGGUCAUGCUUGACAAAAUAUUUGAAAAAAUGAAAAUAUUUGUAGAUCAAUUUUGGUCUGAAUUCUUGGGUCAAUAGUCAGUUAUUGCCAAAAUUCUUUUUAGAGAAGCUAUAUAUUUUAUUUCCCCACCUUCAGCUGGGACCUGUUUAAUUGUCUUUUGCCUAACAUUGAGUGUUCUCAUUUAAAUACGUUGGCUUAGUGGGUGAGAAAUGAUCAUUUAUCAUUGUAAUGUACAAUUCUUCUAUUUUUCAUAAAAUUCAGCAUUUUCCUA